CGGACAGCGACUUCAAAGUCAUUUGUAGGAGGCUAUAACAUUUGGACGACGGAUACACUGGAUGAUAAGGUAGAUGAUCCAGCCUUAUCUUGGAAUGACACGACGGGUGUUGAACACAGAAAACGUACCGUGUACAAGAAACAAUUGGAGUUUAUGAAAGCUUCAAGGAAUUAAUC